GGCCUUUUGACACACAGAGUAAGAGGAGACAGACUCAUCUUUGGAGUUCCUUAUUUUUAUGGAUGGAUUUAAUGAUCAGUUCCUUUUACCACUGAAUGGAGCGCCCACCGGACACAGGCCAUGGAAGAAGAUUAUCUGUAUCUUAUUUGUUUAUUCACUCUUUUGGAAGGAAGAAGUAUUAUUAUAGCUUUUCAAAGCCUUAGGAACACAGAAAUGAGGAGUCCUGAGAAGAAGAAUGGGGGUAACAGAUUCUAAAGGGAAAGUCUCUGCACAAAAUCAGAGGAAGGACUCCGUCAUGAUCUAGAAUCACCCUUCUACAAAUGGAAGAACUCAAAGAGAGCUCACGGUCUAUGGGGGGUGGGGUAGAGUGAGUGCUGCUGGGAUCUCUUAGGAAAUCUACAUCAGCCUCCCAGAUACACGGGAAUCAGCAGCCCCCAAAUACCAGCUGGUGAAUGUUUCUAAUCUUUAUUAUUCUUUGGAUCUUCUUUCCUAAAAGAUAUGCCCUUGAAAUUUAUACUGUCAUAAAAAUACCUAGGAUUGGUUUUCAUGAAUAUCCAUUAACGUACUUCUAAUUUUGUUCAGAUAAAAUAACCUUCUCACAGUACCACACCUUGGCUUGAGCUGUAAGACAAUAGCCAGGUAUGGCCGUGACAGCAUGGUGACAGUUGGCCCAAGAAGUAGAGGUUCUAUUCAAGGUGAGAAGAAAUGCUGAAAGCAUGGUAUAUAACUGGGCCUUCUCACCCAACACAAGAGCCUUUGCAAAAAGUAGAGUCAUACUUAUAUGAGAGAUUUUUAAACAGCAAUUUGAAAGAAUAAAACUAGAAGCCUCAUGAGGAGCCACUACGAUUGGAGAUUUCCACAUUCAGAGACCCUUCAGGCCAUUUCAUGAAUAAGAGGGUCAUCCCUACAGCACCUGCCUUGUGGCCUAUAGGAGCUAUUUAGGUUAAUACAAAGAAGCAUGAAAAAGCAGAGCACCACACAGGCAAAACCAUGCAUCUGGGUUUUCCCACAGGAUCACUGUGGGCUGUCCUAUGUCUCAUGUCAGUUAUUAAAAAUUUCACUAAUACACAAUUGAACCUACGUAGAGUCAUGCUCUACAGUUUCUGGUUUAAUGGUCUGAACAGUUUUCACACAGCCUGAAGGAGGGCUUGAAUCAGAGUAAUCUGCAUCUAGGGGAGGUGAGGCAAGGUGUCCAGGUUUACCAUCUAUCUCACCUCCAUCUGGAGACAGUCUUUCCAAAUGGGUCUGCACACAGGUGAGGGCCAUGCAAAUCUCCCUGGCCCUCCAGAAUGACACCAGCCCUGCAAGUGUAGUUGCAGAGCAAAAUGAGGAAUCCCUUCUCCCCACCCAUGAUAUUGGAGGAGGCAGAAACCAAAAGCAGCAUCCAAUAUUGAACCAAGAAUCCCCUUGGGUUGUUCAUGAACUGUGGUGCUUGAACAAAGUCAGAAGGUACGGCUUGAAAAUCUGCCCGAGCGAGUAUUUCAAUUCAGAGCUUCAUCUAAAUGUCACCUUGUCAAAUUUUGAAGUUUAAUGCUAAACAACAGCUGUGUGUGGCACAGAAAUCACCAAGAGACAGAAAAAUAA